GUAAUAUAUAACUUUAAUAUUAUUGCUACAGUUGUUAAUAAUAAAAUCACCUAUAUUUAACUUUACAAAUCUUAUUUUAAGAUAUACACAUUAAAAGCAUAUCCAGUUUUACUGUUCACAGAGCAAACUUUUAUUAUAUAUCUAAAUCAAUUGGUUUAUCUUUAACUAAAAUGUUCCAAGUUAUAUGUUAAAAUUGCUGGUGUGGGCUUAAAAAUGACCUUUGAAUCUUUUUAAACAGAGAAUUGCUAAAUAAUCUCUUCUCUUUUUCUCCAGCCCUUUGCUAAGAGGUUUCAAAGUUUUUAUCUCUUUAUUGGAGUUCUACAUCCAGAGCAGCUUUAAAAAAAUCCAUGUUGGCAUGGAGCAAGAUCCUUGAAGGACAAUGAGGGAAGUAUUGGGAGUCAAUGGGAACCAGUAAUUUAAAGUGUCAGAAGAUGAAAAAGAAGGUGA
rnacentral:lncRNA from 1 species